CGAACGCUUGCGGCGUGCUUAACACAUGCAAGUCGAACGAGAAAGGGAUCUUCGGAUCCUGAGUAAAGUGGCGCACGGGUGAGUAACGCGUAGAUAAUCUACCCUAGUGUCUGGGACAACAUCGGGAAACUGGUGCUAAUACCGGAUAAUCUUAUUUUGAUGCGAAUCAUGAUAAGGAAAGAUGGGGACCCUUCGGGGCCUAUUGCACAAGGAUGAGUCUGCGUACCAUUAGCUAGUUGGUGGGGUAAAGGCCUACCAAGGCUACGAUGGUUAGCGGGUCUGAGAGGAUGAUCCGCCACACUGGCACUGGAACACGGGCCAGACUCCUACGGGAGGCAGCAGUGAGGAAUUUUGCACAAUGGGGGAAACCCUGAUGCAGCGACGCCGCGUGAGUGAUGAAGGCUUUCGAGUUGUAAAGCUCUGUCAAUAGGGAAGAAAUGUGCUAUGGCGAAUACCCAUAUCAUUUGACGGUACCUAUAAAGGAAGCACCGGCUAAAUCC
rnacentral:rRNA from 1 species